GAAAUUUCAAAAUUUACAACAUAAAAAUACAUGGAAUAAAAAGUUAUUGGAAUGCAUUAAUGGGUUGAUGGAAGACGCUGAGGACAAAUAAAAGCAUGUGAAGUGUAGGGUAUAUCAACUUUAAAUGCUAAAUGGGCAACUUACAAGAGUUGAUAUUUGUGUGUGGAGUUAGAACUGGUAAUAGAGCGAAUGCUGCAGAUAGGGUUUUGUCAUACUGUCGUCGAAUAGUAGCAUUCUACACCUCCUUUUAA
rnacentral:misc_RNA from 1 species